rnacentral:lncRNA from 10 species
UCGCCAUUCUCUAAUCUUGAGUACCCAGGGACACGAUACACUGCGGAAGGCUGCAGGGACCUCUGCCCAGGAAAGCCAGGUGGUUUCCAAAAGGAAAAGCUUUGGGAGAUAGAAGUCCUCGUUUUGACCUCUGCCCUCCUUGUACACCAGGAGCCAGAAAAACUUCAUCUCUUUUACAAGAAACAUUGAGAUUCCUGUAAAAUUAAGAAAUCACACAAUUUGAUGGUCUACAUUAUCUAAAGCAAAUGAGACUUCUAUUUGGAACAAAGACUACCUUGUUGGGAAAUGAGUCUGCAAGUUAAAGUGUUUUCUGGGAUCACUCUAAGCUCCAGUGUCAAGGAGUCAAGUCCUUCAGGAAUUCUCUGCCUCCACUCCCUGUGGCAGAGCUAGAGUGGCUGCCAUGCUUCUGAGCUCAGCCAGCAUCCAGAGAGAGAGUGAGAUACAGCCUCCUCUUCUUGA